UGCGGCAGUCUGGUCUGAUCUAGGUGGCGAAUGAAAGCCUCUCUCUGAUUCCUGCCGCUGCCUGCAGCCAAAGGCUCUCAUCAUAAAAUGCGGAGCUGACAGGAGGUGUUCUGGAUUAAACCUGUUUAAACAGGAGACCGUGGAGAGCAGGCGUGUCUCUACUCGUGGGCCGCUCAAGUUCACGCUGUCCGGAUUAGACCCCGAACAGAGCCCAUUCGCGCACAUCAACAUACACCGACAUACACACACAGACACACACACACCAACAGACUAAGCUUAGCAAGCAAUAAAGCAUCGCACACCUGACACCACUUUAACCUGCUGCCGCAAACAGAGAGAGAAAGAGAGAGACAGAAAACAGGUAGACAGACUGAAGCCAUGCAUAUGAGUGCAGAUUCAUCAACAACAGAGGAGCGAAUGAGGCAAGCUGGACUACUGUAAAAAGGAAAACCAAAGCACAAAACCGAACACUCCAUCAUGCUAUGGGAUGUAAAACAUGAUUUGUGAGCGAAACUCCCUUAUGCGAGAAAGGGAAAAUGCAUAUUUUGUACAAAAAAAGAGAGAAAAAUGCUUAACACAUCAAGGAUACUGGAGCGUUUGCUGAAACUGGAACUAAAAGGUCCUUUGCAGUACAGUAAUGCCCUGUCCUUUCUCUACCGCCUCAGUCAAUAAAGAGUGGCAAAAGCUUCUAUAAAGUCACUAAAAGUGGAAAACACAUUAAUCAACCAAAUUGACCAGCAUGUCGUGCUCGGCAGGUCCACAUCACACGUCUGCUCUCUCAUCUGGGGUUGUCAUCUGUAAUAUCCCCCCGGCACACUGACCGACGCUGAUAUCCACCCAUCAGUCCGGAGCAAAUGGCUUGUGCAUCACAGGCACAGUGCGGAGAGCGUGCAGUGAGGAGAAAUAUGUUCACUUUCACUCUUUGCUGUCCUCAGCAGCCACCUUAUCAGAUCAAACAGCUGAGAAACACAGCUAUGACUCAGUGACCACAGUGUGUCUGUAUGUGUUUAUGUGUGUGUGUGUGAGUGUGUGUUUGGGGGGGGGGGUCUAUCUGCUUCCUGGGGCCCUGGAAACAUAUUGGUUACGUUAGAUAUGGGAAUGCACACUUCCCCACACAGACACACACACACACACCAACGUAUACUUUGAAGAACGAACACACACACCUAACAGAGUCAGAUAUGCCAAUACCGCAUGGAUCAGCGGUGCCUUAUCCUGCUUUGUCCAACAGCAGCUCGGCGUCAGAUAUCAUAUUACUGACUGACUCCAGAGACAUUCGCGAGGUCAGUGGAUCAGAACUUGAUCGAUACUGGGAAAGGAGAUACAGGAGGUUAUAUUAAAGUGGACAGAAUUAAAUUAAAUUGGAAAAUACAACUGAAAGGCACAUAAAACCUCCAUUUCCCCCUCAGUGACCGGUCUGUACCUGCAGAUUCUCUUUCUCUCUUGCCUUUCACUACCAUGCACUAAACAUAGCAGACUUUGUGGAGCAGUGUAUGGCACAGAAAACAGAACUUUAUAUAAUAAACGUCAGUAUUCAACACUGAUAUCAACAUUUUAGAAUCAUGAACAUGGGUGUGUAUAAUACUAGUGUAUGUUAUGUAUGGCUUGUUAAGUAAUAAACUAUUAUUUCUUUUAUAUAACAA